rnacentral:rRNA from 1 species
AGACGGAGGGUGCAAGCGUUAAUCGGAAUUACUGGGCGUAAAGCGCUCGUAGGCGGCCUGUUAAGUCGGAUGUGAAAGCCCCGGGCUCAACCUGGGAACUGCAUUCGAAACUGGCAGGCUAGAGUAUAGUAGAGGCAAGUGGAAUUCCGGGUGUAGCGGUGAAAUGCGUAGAUAUCCGGAGGAACAUCAGUGGCGAAGGCGACUUGCUGGACUAAUACUGACGCUGAGGAGCGAAAGCGUGGGGAGCAAACGGGAUUAGAAACCCCUGUAGUCC